rnacentral:sRNA from 1 species
CUAGGAAUUCACCAUCAUUUGGGGACCUUGCUGGCUUGACUUAUUUGAGAUGGUGUGGGAGUGGACCUGCAUUUUGCGUAAUAUUUAUUAUUUAAUGUAAAAAAAAUAAUUCGAAAACUCAUUUAGGGGCUCCUCGAGUGGGGCACUGAGGGAUUUUACAAAUUUUCCCCUCCCCCACCCUAGCUACGCCAAUGACACGGAGGUAAGACCCUUACGUAUAUAGGUCACAAACAAGAGCUGAUAUUGUACAUACUGCGUAUUUAUGUGUGUAUAUUUACUAGUUAAAAUUAUCUCCCUUGCCUUGGAGCUGAUGUAAUAUUAUGAAUUACUUCCCUUCUGUUAAUUUGGCUAAAUAUUCUAGCUUCGAUAAAUUCUGAUUAUAACUGUCAAGAAACUGAAUAUCAGCUUAUCAGCUCUUGAUGGCAAGAUGUCUAGGAUGAUUCUCGUCGUGGCUAGCCAACAAGUAAUAAUGAUUGAAACUAAUACAAAAAGGUGACGAUGAAGUAAAGAGCACAACAAUGACUAAUGUGACAAAUUAGGAUCUCCGAACACAAUAGUGUCAUUAAAAUAGGUGUUUAAUUAUUGAUAUACUAACCACCAAAAUUGGAUAUAAUUGAAAUAAUAAUGUGAUUUAUUUGGUUGACUAAUUAAGUAGAUAAAACAAUGUAAUGAAUACAAACACAUAAGAAAUGAAUAAAGGUACGAGAAAUUCGGAGUUAUCUAAUCAAGAAAGGCCAAAACAACAUAGUUACAUAUAAAUUGAUGCUGGGUACAAAUAGCAAGCCACACUGGACAGUUUCUCUCUCUUUCUUAUCUUAGCACGGAUCCUGGAGCCCACGUCACAGUCUGUAUAGUCUUGAUGUGAUAUGUACUUGUAUAAAUCUACCGUCUCUGACCGUCACCUAGAUAUAAGUUGACAGACACAAAUAGCCGAGUACUUCAUCAACGAAUCAACUCGUAACUUCCUAACGUGCAGUAAAGAAAAGAUGAAUAGUUUCGUCUUACCGCGUGUCCUUGAGAAAUGCACUGAUAUUGUUCCUGUAUCUAACAACUACAACACAAGUCGUAAAUCACAAUACGACAUCGACUUCUACAACAUACAACAUAUGUCGUAUUCCACAAUACGACAUCGACUCCUACAACAUAGGUCUGGUCCAGCACCUAGCCGUGUUUGAGUCGUCUCCCCCUUAUCUCAAACUGUUUCUGACUUUAUAGUCCUUAAGCUAUAUCUAAUUUAUUCUCUAAUUAUUGUCUUGUCACCCGGACUCUGCUAGUACCACAUUUUCCCUACAUAAAUCUAAAGAUCCGCGAUGUGUCCUGCCGGUAUCACUGACCAUGGUAUUUCGAGCCCUACUGUUUGUUAGUUUAUUGUUCCUCUCGAGUUUUCGUAGUGUUGGUGACAACUAAUGUCUCUGUCUGGGUGUCUAUACAUCACUGUUAUAGUCUGCUCCAGGUCCAGUAUUGGUGUCAACUAAUGUCUCUGUCUGGGUGUCUAUACAUCACUGUCAUAGUCUGCUCCAGGUCCAGUGUUGGUGUCAACUAAUGUCUCUGUCUGGGUGUCUAUACAUCGCUGUCAUAGUCUGCUUCAGGUCCAGUGUUGGUGUCAACUAAUGUCUCUGUCUGGGUGUCUAUACAUCCCUGUCAUAGUCUGCUCCAGGUCCAGUGUUGGUGUCAACUAAUGUCUCUGUCAGGGUGUCUGUACAUCACUGCCAUAGUCUGCUCCAGGUCCAGUGUUGGUGUCAACUAAUGUCUCUGUCAGGGUGUC